rnacentral:lncRNA from 1 species
GGGCCAUCCACCCACCCUCACCUCUGAGAGCAGCGGGGCCAGGUGCUCCAGUGGCACCGCGGGUAGGUCCCCGCAGAGCACCGUGCCGCGGAGGCUGUGAUUUCCCGGAGGCUCGGACUUAGUGCGCAAGAAAAAGAGCCCCUUGGCGCGAGCUCGGCUGGGCUCUGGUCCUGCGUCUAGACCGGGUGUCACCACCAGGCCCCCGGGCCCGGACUGAACCACCAGCAGUGGCCGCGGAUCCGAGGCAGCGUUGUGAUCCAGGAAGGCCUGCAGCAGCCUCCCCGCCUCGGCUGUGCCUGCACAGCGCUCCCAGGUGCCCGCGGCCGGACGCAGGCUCCGAGCCACAAAAGUCCCCAGAAGCCGCAGCCUCGGGUCUCCAGGCUCCUCGUCCCCAGACUCCGCCAGCGCUGCCUGCUCCUUGGCGCCGGGCAUCGCGUGUUGCCAGCUGCAGCGUCUGUUUCCCUAGCGACGGGGAUGCCAGGCCCUCCUGCCUCUGCUCUCCUUAUAUUGGGCACUGGACUCUAGCUCCGCCCCACUAAGUUAAUAAGGAUUAUAAGAUCGUGGAGUCAGUAGAAAACAUCAGUGACCAUUGAAGGUUUGAAGCAGACAGAUGAACAGGAGAAGCACAGGAGCUGACUUACCCUACAUGGCUUUCUUUUCCAUGUAAGAAACAACUGAAGGAACUGGAGAGCACGGACGUGCCAGCAAGAAAGGAAAUCUAGCAGCAGAUGGAGGUACAAGCCACUCACAACCUUUACCUUUCCUAUGGUGAAAAGACUUGAGAAUCACCAGCAAGAUGAAAAAAUGGAUCUUUCUUCCAGCAUCCAGAACUCAAGAAGAAAUACUCAUUAAAGAACAUCACCAGUGACUUAACUUCCAUCUUAGGCCCAGCUUCUAAAUCUCUAAAAUAGACUCAGACCAGCCAAAUUACCUGAAAGAAGCAGAGACAAUCCAAACUGUCAGAAAAGAACCAAGUCACAAAGCUUCCUGGAAGAGGCUCAGGCUCAUGUUUGAACCCCUAGUGGCACUAUUUGGGGAUGCUGUGGAACCUGUUGAAUAUAAUACAUGACUGGAGGAAGACUGGAAGACCAUCAGUCUUGAAGAUUAUAUCGCCUUCUGCUUUGUAUCUAUCACUUCCUUCUUCCUGGUCUGGCUGGGGUGUGACACAUUCCACCAAGGACUCCCACUACCAUGAAGGUGCUCAACCAUCCCUGCUUCAAUGGGCUGUGCCUCAACCAUGGGCCAAAUAUUUCCUCCCUUCUCUCUGUCAGCUAUUUUAGGACAAGAUCAAGAAAAACAACUAAUAAAAUAGUAAUUAUGGUGAUUAUAAUGACCAUAGGAAAAUAUUAAUUUACUAAUGAAUGUCUAUUCUUCAUUUCAAAAAUGGCACCAGCUGACCAGUAUCCAAAGCCAGAAGCCUGGAGGUUAGCUUUUUCCUCCCUCUGCUCUCCACCUUCACCUUCUUCCAUGAUCUUUCUCAAGCCACUGCUUCAUCACUCCCAAAGUCCAUCUUGAAUGGAUGUGCUGCACAAGACACACACAGUUUCUCUGGAUUACUCCACUGCCGUGGCAUCCUAACCGAUUGUGCUCUUCUUGCCUCCCUGAGACUCAAUCUCCAUAGAGUUGCCAAAAUGAUCCCUUAAAACAUUAGCUGAAUCACAUCAUGCCCCUGUAUUAAAGCCUCCCACUACUCCUGGAAUAGAUCCAAAUUCCUAGAUGUUUCUCGGAGUUCAGUUCCUAGAAGAAGUCAUAUUCUUCUCUCCUUGGGGCCUUUGUUGUUGUUCUGUAUGUACCUUGUCACAAGCUGGCUUCCUCUCAGCUUCUGGAUCUCCGUUUUUUUCCCUUUAGAGAAGCUAGACUUGAUCUUUCUAAAUAAUGCCUCUUAUUAUUCUCUUCCACACACCCUUGUUUAUUGCUGUCACCGCACUUAGCACAAUGUGUAAUCAACUAAUCUCAUUAUUUUAUUUAUGUAUUUUCUAUCUCCCAUUACUAAACAAGGGCAGGACCCAUGUUUCUCAUGCUCAUUGUUAUACCUGUUGCAUCUAGCACCAUGCAUAGCAGGUGUUCCACAAACGUGAAUGAGUUGCCUCUUAAAAUUAUAUACCGUGUUGCAGUUGACAGACACUGUCAGCCAGAGAAGCGAAGAGAAGUUAUCAUUAAGGAUGGCUUUAUGUGUGCAAAGGGCAUGGGGUAGAAUUGACUGAUAGCAUCACCACAAGCAAGCCACAUAAAAUUGUAUCCUGGAGUCAGUGGAGAGUGCUCUAUCCUAUUCCCUGUGACGACAUGGAAAACAGCAAGGUGGAGAUGGGGAUUUGUGGUCUUAAGACACAGUGCAGCUUCCUGGCCAUCCUGGGGAGAAGUGGUUACUUUAGUACACACAAAAUAGUCACAUGCAUCCAACCUACAGCAUAUUCCAUGGAUCAGGAGUGCACAUCAGCUUUGAUUAAAGCUUUAAUCUCUCCUGUCACUUCACCCACUUUUCUAAGUUGUUUGCUUUCAUUCUUAGCCAGCUGUACUUUCACUGGCCAUGUAUAUGGGUUUGUCUGGAUAUGCAUUCACCAAUAUCUAUCAUUCAACACCCACAACUGCAUUUUCUCACUUUCCAUCUCUCCUCUUAUAUUGGUCUUUAAGACUCUAGACCAUACUUUAUCUGCCUUAAUCACUCCAAGGCCAGGUACCCAAUACUCAAGUUAACCCCUAUGCUCCAGAGCCCCGCUGAAAUGAUCUGCUCUGACCCGCCAUGAACCUGUAUUCUUUCCUUACCUUUACCCUGGAAUCACCCACAAGGUUCUGGUCAGGGUUCCUCCUUUUCCUACCAGCUAGGGUUGCUCCUUGUGCUACUUGCCUGCCAUGAGGCCCUGCAUGGCAUGUGGCCUCCUUCUAGGAACUUCUGAACACACAGACUUCUUCCUUCACUCUAUGUGGUGGUUUGAAUGGGUAGAGCCCCCAUAGACUCAUGUGUUUGAAUUCUUGGUCUUGUUGAAGUAGGUGCGGUCUUAUUGGAGGACGUAGGUCAUUUGGGGGCAGGUUCUGAGCUCUCCUAUGCUCAAGCUAUGCCCAUUGUGACACACAGUCUCUUGUUGCCUGCAAAUCAAAAUAUAGAACUCUUGGCACCAUGUCUGACUGUAUGCUGCCAUGCUUCCCACCAUGAUGAUAAUGGACUAAACCUCUCAAACUGUAAGCCAGUUCCAGUUAAAUGUUUUCCUUUAUAAGAAUUGCCUUGGUCACUGUGUCUGUUUGUAGCAAUGAAACCCUAACUAAGACACCCCAGUUGUCCAUGAACCUGUUUUCACAUAGCUGAUAUAACAAAUCUCAAGGGAUGUUUUAAAACAACAGUGUUUGCUAUUUGGAUGACAUUUAUAUUUAUUAUAAUUAGCAUAAUUUUUAACAAAGUCGAGUACUUUGAGCAGACUCAUACUCUUGGUUGGAUGAAAACAGAAAAUGGUAGGCAGCUACUCAUAAUUUAGACUACUAGGUAAUACUUAUAAAUUAAACAAUAAAAUUCUAUUUUAAAAAAUCCCA